UACGUAGGGUGCGAGCGUUGUCCGGAAUUAUUGGGCGUAAAGGGCUCGUAGGCGGUCUGUCGCGUCGGGAGUGAAAACUCAGGGCUUAACCCUGAGCCUGCUUCCGAUACGGGCAGACUAGAGGUAUGCAGGGGAGAACGGAAUUCCUGGUGUAGCGGUGGAAUGCGCAGAUAUCAGGAGGAACACCGGUGGCGAAGGCGGUUCUCUGGACAGGUACUGACGCUGAGACGCGAAAGCGUGGGUAGCAAACAGG
rnacentral:rRNA from 1 species